rnacentral:rRNA from 1 species
AGUGAACGCUGGCGGUAGGCCUAACACAUGCAAGUCGAACGGCAGCACAGUAAGAGCUUGCUCUUACGGGGGGCGAGUGGCGGACGGGUGAGGAAUACAUCGGAAUCUACUUUUUCGUGGGGGAUAACGUAGGGAAACUUACGCUAAUACCGCAUACGACCUACGGGUGAAAGCAGGGGAUCUUUGGACCUUGCGCGAGCUAAUGAGCCGAUGUCGGAUUAGCUAGUUGGCGGGGUACAGGCCCACCAAGGCGGCGAUCGGCAGCUGGUGUGAGAGGAUGAAGAGCGACACUGGGACUGGGACGCGGCCCAGACUCUUACGGGAGGCAGAGGUGGCGAAUAUUGGACACUGGGCGGAAGACUGAUCCAUCCGUGCAGGGUGGGUGCAGAAGGCCUUCGGGUUGUAUAGCCCUUUUGUUGGGAAAGAAAACCAGCAGGUUAAUCCACCGCUGUUCUGACGGUACCCAAAUAAUAAGCACCGGCUAACUUCGUG